UACGUAGGUCCCGAGCGUUGUCCGGAUUUAUUGGGCGUAAAGGGCUCGUAGGCGGUUCGUCGCGUCCGGUGUGAAAGUCCAUCGCUUAACGGUGGAUCCGCGCCGGGUACGGGCGGGCUUGAGUGCGGUAGGGGAGACUGGAAUUCCCGGUGUAACGGUGGAAUGUGUAGAUAUCGGGAAGAACACUAAUGGCGAAGGCAGGUCUCUGGGCCGUUACUGACGCUGAGGAGCGAAAGCGUGGGGAGCGAACAGG
rnacentral:rRNA from 1 species